CAGUAGCCGCGGUAAUACAGAGGGUGCAAGCGUUAAUCGGAAUUACUGGGCGUAAAGCGCGCGUAGGUGGUUUGUUAAGUUGGAUGUGAAAUCCCCGGGCUCAACCUGGGAACUGCAUCCAAAACUGGCAAGCUAGAGUAUGGUAGAGGGUGGUGGAAUUUCCUGUGUAGCGGUGAAAUGCGUAGAUAUAGGAAGGAACACCAGUGGCGAAGGCGACCACCUGGACCGAUACUGACACUGAGGUGCGAAAGCGUGGGGAGCAAACAGGAUUAGAUACCCCCGUAGUCCCUGUCUCUUAUAC
rnacentral:rRNA from 1 species